rnacentral:rRNA from 1 species
CGUAGGGGGCAAGCGUUGUUCGGAUUUACUGGGCGUAAAGGGCGCGUAGGCGGCGUGACAAGUCACUUGUGAAAUCUCUGAGCUUAACUCAGAACGGUCAAGUGAUACUGUUGUGCUAGAGUACAGAAGGGGCAAUCGGAAUUCUUGGUGUAGCGGUGAAAUGCGUAGAUAUCAAGAGGAACACCUGAGGUGAAGACGGGUUGCUGGGCUGAUACUGACGCUGAGGCGCGAAAGCUAGGGUAGCAAACGGGAUUAGAUACCCCGGUAGUCCUAGCCCUAAACGAUGAAUACUUGGUGUCUGGAGUAUUAAUUCUCUGGGUGCCGUCGCUAACGUUUUAAGUAUUCCGCCUGGGGAGUACGCUCGCAAGAGUG